CACGGACGGAAAGGUUUUGUCCCCUCUUCCAUAAACCGCUGUAGCGGUGGUGAGCCGGCGAUGGGGAUGUCGUCGAUCUCUUCCUCCAUCUAGCUGCUCCCCUCCGCGCGAGGGCCUAGAUCGCGCCUGGAGCGGCUCCUACUUCUUCGCGGCGGCAGCCCAUGUCGCCGCCGCCGGGACGACGACGCCCCUUGGAAGGGCUCGACCAUUGGUUUUGGAAUGGGGCUCACGACCCUCGCUCUCUCCAUGACAGUUCGUCGCUGCCCGUCGCUGCUUGGGGCCGCGGCCUCCAUCCCCAAGCAGAUCCUGUUUUGAAUCAGGCACGGCGAAGGGAUUGGCCUUGAUGGGUGCCGACUCCAGCACCUACCGGCUACCGCCCCCCAGCUCAAUCUGCCCUGCAUCCCGCGCCGCGGAGCCUACUAGCUGCCCGCCGGCAUCCUACCCUCCAACUCCACUAACCGGCAGGCAGGCUGCGAGGCGAGGACUUACCAGCCCAGUGGGGCAGUGCUGCUGUCUUAGUGGUCGGACUGCAAUUAGGUUGAAAGGAGGCAAAUACAGUGUUACCUUUAGUUAUCUACGAUAGUUAUCUACUUGUAGUACAAACUUCCUGAUGUAAAUAAUAUUUCAUUUCCAGAGGUGUUUUAGCACAAUGUUGUAAAGGUGCCAGGAAAAUGGGAUAGCGGGGAGAAGGUCCCGUACCGGAGUA